CCACGCAUCAUCGAAGAUUAGGCCGAACCGAAUAGAAACUGAUUUAAGCGCCACCUCAGUUAUUUCAUCCAACUAACGGCAUGCUAUACUAGGUAAUAGGUAAAGCAAGAAAGCGCAGAAUGUUUCUCGGAGGAUCUACUACCAGUGCUAUUUUCUUCUGUGCCAUUUCUUGGAGAAACCACAUUCAUAGAAGAAUCGUAAGUAUGUAAUACGUAGCCCAGCAAGAGAGAAAUUAUCACACAAAGCUUCGUUCGUGAUUAUGCGACGAUUGGUAAUUAUUAAUUAUCCAAGUUGCCCGUUCGAACACGGGAACCGUAAAUGAUUGGAAUAUACAUUAUACAUACGUGAAAUGACACGUGAAAACGAAGAUAAAAGUCGAUGAUAUCCGAUGAAAUAAAAAUCUGGUCGACUGAUCCG